rnacentral:rRNA from 1 species
AGAGUUUGAUCCUGGCUCAGGAUGAACGCUGGCGGCGUGCUUAACACAUGCAAGUCGAACGGGAAAUACUUUAUUGAAACUUCGGUCGAUUUAAUUUAUUUCUAGUGGCGGACGGGUGAGUAACGCGUGGGUAACCUGCCUUAUACUGGGGGAUAACAGCCAGAAAUGACUGCUAAUACCGCAUAAGCGCACAGAACCGCAUGGUUCGGUGUGAAAAACUCCGGUGGUAUAAGAUGGACCCGCGUUGGAUUAGCUAGUUGGCAGGGCAGCGGCCUACCAAGGCGACGAUCCAUAGCCGGCCUGAGAGGGUGAACGGCCACAUUGGGACUGAGACACGGCCCAGACUCCUACGGGAGGCAGCAGUGGGGAAUAUUGCACAAUGGGGGAAACCCUGAUGCAGCGACGCCGCGUGAAGGAAGAAGUAUCUCGGUAUGUAAACUUCUAUCAGCAGGGAAGAUAAUGACGGUACCUGACUAAGAAGCCCCGGCUAACUACGUGCCAGCAGCCGCGGUAAUACGUAGGGGGCAAGCGUUAUCCGGAUUUACUGGGUGUAAAGGGAGCGUAGACGGCGCAGCAAGUCUGAUGUGAAAGGCAGGGGCUUAACCCCUGGACUGCAUUGGAAACUGCUGUGCUUGAGUGCCGGAGGGGUAAGCGGAAUUCCUAGUGUAGCGGUGAAAUGCGUAGAUAUUAGGAGGAACACCAGUGGCGAAGGCGGCUUACUGGACGGUAACUGACGUUGAGGCUCGAAAGCGUGGGGAGCAAACAAAAUUAGAUACCCUGGUAGUCCACGCCGUAAACGAUGAA